rnacentral:rRNA from 1 species
AGAGUUUGAUCAUGGCUCAGGGUAAACGCUGGCGGCGUGCCUAAAACAUGCAAGUCGAACGGGACCUUCGGGUCCAGUGGCAGACGGCUGAGUAACGCGUGGGUGACAUACCCGUUGGUGGGGAAUAACUGCCCGAAAGGGUGGCUAAUUCCGCAUACGCCUCUCUUUUCGAUGAGGGAGGGAAAGUCGCAAGACGCCGAUGGAGUGGCCCGCGUUCGAUUAGCUAGCUGGUGGGGUAACGGCCUACCAGGGCGACGAUCGAUAGCUGGUCUCAGAGGAUGAUCAGCCAGACUGGGACUGAGACACGGCCCAGACUCCUACGGGAGGCAGCAGUUAGGAAUUUUGGGCAAUGGGCGAAAGCCUGACCCAGCAACGCCGCGUGGGUGACGAAGGCCUUCGGGUUGUAAAGCCCUUUUCUGGGGGAAGAUGAUGACGGUACCCCAGGAAGAAGCACCGGCUAACUACGUGCCAGCAGCCGCGGUAAUACGUAGGGUGCAAGCGUUGCCCGGAUUUAUUGGGCGUAAAGGGCGCGUAGGCGGCUCGGCACGUCCGUUGUGAAAUCGCCCGGCUCAACUGGGCGGGGUCAGCGGAUACGGUCGAGCUUGAGCAAGCUAGGGGGCAAUGGAAUUCCCGGUGUAGUGGUGGAAUGCGUAGAUAUCGGGAGGAACACCAGUGGCGAAGGCGGUUGCUGGGGCUUUGCUGACGCUGAUGCGCGAAAGCGUGGGGAGCGAUCCGGAUUAGAUACCCUAGUAGUCC